rnacentral:rRNA from 1 species
GUCCACGCCCUAAACGAUGUCAACUAGGUGUUGGAAGGGUUAAACCUUUUAGUGCCGUAGCUAACGCGUGAAGUUGACCGCCUGGGGAGUACGGCCGCAAGGCUAAAACUCAAAGGAAUUGACGGGGACCCGCACAAGCGGUGGAUGAUGUGGAUUAAUUCGAUGCAACGCGAAAACCUUACCUACCCUUGACAUGUCAGGAAUCCCGGAGAGAUUUGGGAGUGCUCGAAAGAGAGCCUGAACACAGGUGCUGCAUGGCUGUCGU